UACAGAGGGUGCAAGCGUUGUUCGGAAUUACUGGGCGUAAAGAGCUCGUAGGCGGUUUGUCGCGUCUGCCGUGAAAGUCCGGGGCUCAACUCCGGAUCUGCGGUGGGUACGGGCAGACUAGAGUGAUGUAGGGGGGACUGGAAUUCCUGGUGUAGCGGUGAAAUGCGCAGAUAUCAGGAGGAACACCGAUGGCGAAGGCAGGUCUCUGGGCAUUAACUGACGCUGAGGAGCGAAAGCCAGGGGAGCAAACGGG
rnacentral:rRNA from 1 species